rnacentral:rRNA from 1 species
AUACGUAGGGUGCGAGCGUUGUCCGGAAUUACUGGGCGUAAAGAGCUCGUAGGUGGUUUGUCGCGUCGUCUGUGAAAUUCCGGGGCUUAACUCCGGGCGUGCAGGCGAUACGGGCAUAACUUGAGUACUGUAGGGGAGACUGGAAUUCCUGGUGUAGCGGUGAAAUGCGCAGAUAUCAGGAGGAACACCGGUGGCGAAGGCGGUUCUCUGGGCAGUAACUGACGCUGAGGAGCGAAAGCAUGGGUAGCGAACAGGAUUAGAUUCCCUGGUAGUCCAUGCCGUAAACGGUGGGCGCUAGGUGUAGGGGUCUUCCACGACUUCUGUGCCGUAGCUAACGCAUUAAGCGCCCCGCCUGGGGAGUACGGCCGCAAGGCUAAAACUCAAAGGAAUUGACGGGG